CGCUGGCAGCUAAAAAAGCCUGACCAUUCAGUGCUGAUUUUUUUUUUUAUAGAGGUCAACAUGUUGCCCACAGAAGUGGCCAUCACCCAAACCUCCCACCUCUUGCCUUACUGAAAGGAGAUUGACCCAGGAGACCACCGUGACAAGCAAACAGCAUUGUCUCAUGGAAAGCAAACUGAAGCCCAAAGAGGAAAAGUCAGAGUGGCCAACACCAAAACUGGUCCUGUCUCCUAACUUAAGUCUGGAGUUCAAUCCCCUACACUAACCUACCUGCCCAGGACAAUUCUAAGGCUGAAGACACAGUGCCUUUGGGGAGCCAAACUCAAGCUUCAGCAUCCUCACUAUUGCUAAAUUACCUGCUCUGGGGAGGUGUAUGCACUUGGAAAGUGGACUGAAAUUCACCCCCCUGGACUGCUAGCCUAGCACACAGCACUGUGCCCUCUGGCACAAUAGGCAGGUAGCUGUGUCCCAGGCUUGAGAGGGCCAGAUAAGCUGCUCACACUUAAAUUCAAGGUAGUGUUCAAAGACCUCAUUCAGCAUCCAACUUCAACUUUACUAGAGGAAAAAAAAAAAUCCCAGGUCCAGAGAGGAGAAGUGACUAGCCCAAUGCCAAUCAGAAUUCAUGGUAGACCUAGAAUGAGCACCAGACCUUCAACUCCUGCCGGUGCUCUUUCCUAUACGGGGUGCCACCCUCCUUCUCAGCACUGCUUUGAAAUGGCAAAUGGCAUCCCGACCUCCUAGACUGGGCAUGUCUGAGGGCUGUUAUCAGAACUUCACUACCUUUCCCUCCCCUCCCUUCUUUGGGUGGCUGCCGAAAGCACCCCCAAAAAGUCUGAUUCUGUAAAGCAGACAUGCUUUACAAUUGUCCAGGGGUAAUUCCUAGACGACAGCCCAAUGAAAGGGUAUUCGGUAUGUCUCACAUUGGAAGAAGUGUCCCCCUCAAUACACACACACACACACACACACACACACAUGCUUGAAACUAGCUGGUAAUCUCAAAGGCAAGAGAAGAAAGGUGAGACUGGUCUGAGAUCUAAAUUUUUAACCCUCAUCUGCAUUACCAUGCUCCAUGGCCUUGGUUCAGUCUCCUACUACCCUGCUCCUUUGGAUUUAAGUUUCUAAACAGCCAAUCCAUUAAGCAUUGAUAGAGCUGGGGAAGUGUUGUGUGUGUGUGUGUGAGAGAGAGAGAGAGAGAGAGAGAGAAAGAGGGUUCUUCAUUUGGUUCUCAGAACAAUUGACUAGGGCGGGUAUUAUCAUUCAUCCCAUUCUAUAGAUACAACCAUUUAAUCAAUCUCUAAAUAUUUAGCUCACCACUCUGUGCCAGACACUGUGCUAAGCAGGACUCCUAUUCUCAUGCAGCUGACACAAUAUCAGAAUGGAGAAACCAAGGACCAUAAAGCAGAAAUUCAUUAGUAAGCUAAGUCUUCAACUGGAGACUAUUCCAGAUCUCUUAUUUUUUGUAUAGCACUGAGUUGUAUCUUGUUAAGACUAAAGAUUGAAGUGGGGACAAGAAGAUCCCCAGGGAAGGGACUCAUUCAUCUUCUCUGUCCUGAAUCUUAGAGUAAUUCUAGGGCAAGAGGAUCAUCUCUCCCUGCAAAUGACUGGCAUGCAGCAACUGUCUAUAAACCAUGUCAUGACUAGGCAAAAAAGAGAAAACAGAUCAAUAAGCUUAACCACGUGCGUGCGUGUGUGUGUGUGUAUGCAUGCACGGGCGCACACGCAUGCAUGCACAUGCGGAAGAGCCACAACUACCUAGAAAUUUGCUAUUGGGACAAGGAGAAGACCUUCCCUCCUUGCACAUAUACAUUUUGUCCCCAUGUUGGAGGCCCUCAGAAACCCCAGAGUGCUCUGGGUAGAGCCCUGCACAGACCUGGCCUCACUAUCAACUCAAAACCAAACCCCCCAGCAUCCUUGGUGCUUUCUUACCAAAUAUGAGGACCCCAGCUCUCCCACCCAUCUUAAGCAUAUGUACUACACCUCUCAGUUUGCAAAGAACACUUAUACUUGUUUCUCAGAUAUGAAGAGCCUACUAUAGUAGCCAGUGGAGAAAGGUUGCAGGAGGAACAUUUGGCCAGGGCCUCACACUCAAGAUUUAGACUUUUUAAAAAAAGAUUUUAUUU
rnacentral:lncRNA from 1 species